rnacentral:rRNA from 1 species
GACGAACGCUGGCGGCGUGCUUAACACAUGCAAGUCGAACGGAAAGGCCCUGCUUUUGUGGGGUGCUCGAGUGGCGAACGGGUGAGUAACACGGGAGUAACCUGCCCUUGACUUUGGGAUAACUUCAGGAAACUGGGGCUAAUACCGGAUAGGAGCUCCUGCUGCAUUGUGGGGGUUGGAAAGUUUCGGCGGUUGGGGAUGGACUCGCGGCUUAUCAGCUUGUUGGUGGGGUAGUGGCUUACCAAGGCUUUGACGGGUAGCCGGCCUGGGCGGGUGACCGGCGACCAUGGGCCUGAGAUACGGCCCAGACUCCUACGGGAGGCAGCAGUGGGGAGUAUUGCACAAUGGGCGGAAGCCUGAUGCAGCAACGCCGCGUGCGGGAUGACGGCCUUCGGGUUGUAAACCGCUUUCGCCUGUGACGAAGCGUGAGUGACGGUAAUGGGUAAAGAAGCACCGGCUAACUACGUG